AAAUUGAAGAGUUUGAUCAUGGCUCAGAUUGAACGCUGGCGGCAGGCCUAACACAUGCAAGUCGAACGGUAACAGGAAUCAGCUUGCUGAUUUGCUGACGAGUGGCGGACGGGUGAGUAAUGUCUGGGAAACUGCCUGAUGGAGGGGGAUAACUACUGGAAACGGUAGCUAAUACCGCAUAACGUCGCAAGACCAAAGAGGGGGACCUUCGGGCCUCUUGCCAUCGGAUGUGCCCAGAUGGGAUUAGCUAGUAGGUGGGGUAA
rnacentral:rRNA from 1 species